CUCCAGAUGUUGCUGAAGUACAACUCCCAUGAUUCUCUGGCUAUCUAUGUAAUUCAAAGAAUCAUGGGAGUUGUAGUUCAGCAACAUCUGGAG